UAGGUGGAUUUUAAGUCAUGUGUCUAAGUGCGGGGCUCAACCCCGUAUAGGCGCAAGAAACUGAGAUUCUUGAGUGCAGGAGAGGAAAGUGAAUUCCCCAGUGUAGCGGUGAAAUGCGUAGAUAUUGGGAGGAACACCAGUGGCGAAGGCGACUUUCUGGACUGUGUCUGACACUGAGGCGCGAAAGCUAGGGGAGCGAACGGGAUUAGAUACCCCGGUAGUCCUAGCCGUAAACGAUGGGUACUAGGUGUAGAGGGUAUCGACCCCUUCUGUGCCGCAGUUAACACAAUAAGCACUCCGCCUGGGGAGUACGGCCGCAAGGUUGAAACUCAAAGGAAUUGACGAGGGCCCGCACAAGCGGUGGAGCAUGUGGUUUAAUUCGACGCAACGCGAAGAACCUUACCAGGGCUUGACAUCCUACGAACUCUCUAGAAAUAGGGAGGUGCCCUUCGGGGAGCGUAGAGACAGGUGGUGCAUGGUUGUCGUCAGCUCGUGUCGUGAGAUGUUGGGUUAAGUCCCGCAACGAGCGCAACCCUUAUCCUUUGUUGCCAGCGCGUAAAGGCGGGAACUCAAGGGAGACUGCCGCAGACAAUGCGGAGGAAGGCGGGGAUGACGUCAAGUCAUCAUGCCCCUUAUGUCCUGGGCUACACACGUACUACAAUGGGCUUAAACAAAGCGCAGCAAAACCGCGAGGUUGAGCGAAACGCAUAAACAAGCUCUCAGUUCGGAUCGGAGGCUGCAACUCGCCUCCGUGAAGUCGGAAUCGCUAGUAAUCGCAGGUCAGCAUACUGCGGUGAAUACGUUCCCGGGCCUUGUACACACCGCCCGUCACACCACGAAAGUUGGCAACACCCGAAGCCGGUGGGGUAACCAGAAAUGGAACUAGCCGUCUAAGGUGGGGUCAAUGAUUGGGGUGAAGUCGUAACAAGGUAACCGUA
rnacentral:rRNA from 1 species